UACGUAGGGACCGAGCGUUGUCCGGAUUCAUUGGGCGUAAAGAGCUCGUAGGUGGUUUGUCGCGUUGUUCGUGAAAACUCACAGCUUAACUGUGGGCGUGCGGGCGAUACGGGCAGACUGGAGUACUGCAGGGGAGACUGGAAUUCCUGGUGUAGCGGUGGAAUGCGCAGAUAUCAGGAGGAACACCGGUGGCGAAGGCGGGUCUCUGGGCCGGAACUGACGCUGAGGAGCGAAAGCGUGGGGAGCAAACAGG
rnacentral:rRNA from 1 species